rnacentral:rRNA from 1 species
GUGGGGAAUUUUGGACAAUGGGCGCAAGCCUGAUCCAGCAAUGCCGCGUGCAGGAAGAAGGCCUUCGGGUUGUAAACUGCUUUUGUACGGAACGAAACGGUCCGGGUUAAUACCCUGGGCUAAUGACGGUACCGUAAGAAUAAGCACCGGCUAACUACGUGCCAGCAGCCGCGGUAAUACGUAGGGUGCAAGCGUUAAUCGGAAUUACUGGGCGUAAAGCGUGAGCAGGCGGUGCUGUAAGACAGGCGUGCAAGCCGCGGGCGCAACCUGGGAAUUGCGCUUGUGACUGCAGUGCUGGAGUACGGCAGAGGGGGAUGGAAUUCCGCGUGUAGCAGUGAAAUGCGUAGAUAUGCGGAGGAACACCGAUGGCGAAGGCAGUCCCCUGGGCCUGUACUGACGCUCAUGCACGAAAGCGUGGGGAGCAAACAGGAUUAGAAACCCGAGUAGUCC